UACAGAGGGUGCGAGCGUUAUUCGGAAUUACUGGGCGUAAAGCGCGCGUAGGCGGCUUUGCAAGUCGGGUGUGAAAUCCCCAGGCUUAACCUGGGAACUGCAUUCGAGACUGCAUUGCUAGAGUAUGGGAGAGGGAAGUGGAAUUUCCGGUGUAGCGGUGAAAUGCGUAGAUAUCGGAAGGAACAUCAGUGGCGAAAGCGACUUCAUGGACCAAUACUGACGCUCAUGUGCGAAAGCGUGGGGAGCAAACAGG
rnacentral:rRNA from 1 species